rnacentral:rRNA from 1 species
GAUGAACGCUGGCGGCGUGCUUAACACAUGCAAGUCGAACGAUGAAGCCCAGCUUGCUGGGUGGAUUAGUGGCGAACGGGUGAGUAACACGUGAGUAACCUGCCCUUAACUCUGGGAUAAGCCUGGGAAACUGGGUCUAAUACCGGAUAGGAGCGCCUACCGCAUGGUGGGUGUUGGAAAGAUUUAUCGGUUUUGGAUGGACUCGCGGCCUAUCAGCUUGUUGGUGAGGUAAUGGCUCACCAAGGCGACGACGGGUAGCCGGCCUGAGAGGGUGACCGGCCACACUGGGACUGAGACACGGCACAGACUCCUACGGGAGGCAGCAGUGGGGAAUAUUGCACAAUGGGCGAAAGCCUGAUGCAGCGACGCCGCGUGAGGGAUGACGGCCUUCGGGUUGUAAACCUCUUUCAGUAGGGAAGAAGCGAAAGUGACGGUACCUGCAGAAGAAGCACCGGCUAACUACGUG